CUACAAUGUACAGUGACGUUGCCUAGAUAUGAUGGCAGAGUUUUCUAAACAAAUGCCGACGUAACUUAUACAAAUCAUCAUGAUAUCAUUUUGCCAGGACCUGAGCCCUAGGACCAUGCCUCAGUACUACCUGGUAUGAGGACUCCUUGCUGUCCACCGUCCACCUGGCCGUGCUGCUGCUCCAGUUUAAACUGUUCUGCCUGCGGCUAUGGAACCCUGACCUGUUCACCGGACGUGCUUGUUGCACCCUCGACAACUACUAUGAUUAUUAUUAUUUGACCAUGCUGGUCAUUUGUGAACAUUUUAACAUUUUAACAUCUUGACCAUGUUCUGUUAUAAUAUCCCCCCUGCACAGCCAGAAGAGGACUGGCCACCCCUCAUAGCCUGGUUCCUCUCUAGGUUUCUUCCUAGGUUUUUUGCCUUUCUAGGGAGUUUUUCCUAUGGAGUUUUUCCUAGCCACCGUGCUUCUUUCACAUGCUUUGCUUGCUGUUUGGGGUUUUAGGCUGGGUUUCUGUACAGCACUUUGAGAUAUCAGCUGAUGUACGAAGGGCUAUAUAAAUAAAUUUGAUUUGAUUUGAAUUAGAGUUAAUGUCUAACCUUAAGAAUUUAGAGUUAAUGCAUGAUCUAAACUGUAACCUUAAAAAUGUGGAGUUAAUGCCUGAACUCAACUUUAGAAUAUUCAAAAUGUGACAUUUGGAACAACUUCUAAUUCUAACGUGAGACUGUGAGAGCUGGUAGGAUCUUUCAUGCUGAAACCCUCAUAUUGGACACAAACAGUAUUUAUUAUAUUUUGGAUAAUGUUUUACAGCUUCGUCAUUGUAGUUCUUUUUUAAAAAUUUUUUAAAAAUUAUUGUAUUAAUUUUAUAUACAAUCCUGAAAGUAAAAAAAAAAAAUCUGGUAGUUAAACGAAAGCUAACUGGACUUGAAACACACACACACGCACACAAGCACCCCUGUCUGCAGUAAAGAUUUGUAGCGGGGGGGGCAGGUCUCCUAUAAGAGAGCUUCCUGCCUACCUGCAGUCAGUCGGUGUUUACUAUGGAGCUGAAUGGUUUAUCAGAGAAGAGCCAGAGAAAUGGGCUGGACAACCAGGCCUUCCACUCUCAGGUUACCUGCUACCUCUUGCGGAACAACAUUUCCAUAAGGAAUUGACAAGAGAGCAGAAACAGACUAAGCGAGAACAACUUCUGCCUAAAAUAUGUGGGUUCUGAAUGUGGACAGAAGGUGAUGUGCUCUCCCCAUCCAAAGUUACUGGACAUCAUCACGAAAUAUCGAAGAAAAACAGUUAAGUUUUUCUUGAACAGAUUAA
rnacentral:lncRNA from 1 species